rnacentral:tRNA from 1 species
AAGUAGGAAGCAAAGAUUGCAGCUAGUUUCGACCUAGUAAUUUGGCUAUAAAAGUCCCUGCUCA